GUCUACGGCCAUGCCAUCCUGAACAAGCCCGAUCCCAUCUGAUCUCGGAAGCUAAGCAGGGAUGGGAGAUCACCUAGGAAGACCAGGUGCUGUAGGUG
rnacentral:rRNA from 1 species